rnacentral:rRNA from 1 species
UCCGGAGGGUGCAAUCGUUGUUCGGAAUCACUGGGCGUAAAGCGCGUGUAGGCGGUCUGCUAAGUCUGAUGUGAAAGCCCGGGGCUCACCCUCGGAAGUGCAUUGGAAACUGGCAGACUGGAGUCCCGGAGAGGAGGGUGGAAUUCCUGGUGUAGCGGUGAAAUGCGUAGAUAUCAGGAGGAACACCGGUGGCGAAGGCGGCCCUCUGGACGGUGACUGACGCUGAGACGCGAAAGCGUGGGGAGAAAACAGG